rnacentral:rRNA from 1 species
AAUGAACGCUGGCGGCAUGCCUAACACAUGCAAGUCGAACGAGACCUUCGGGUCUAGUGGCGCACGGGUGCGUAACGCGUGGGAAUCUGCCCUUGGGUUCGGAAUAACAGGUAGAAAUGACUGCUAAUACAGGAUGAUGUCGAAAGACCAAAGAUUUAUCGCCCGAGGAUGAGCCCGCGUAGGAUUAGCUAGUUGGUGAGGUAAAGGCUGACCAAGGCGACGAUCCUUAGCUGGUCUGAGAGGAUGAUCAGCCACACUGGGACUGAGACACGGCCCAGACUCCUACGGGAGGCAGCAGUGGGGAAUAUUGGACAAUGGGCGAAAGCCUGAUCCAGCAAUGCCGCGUGAGUGAUGAAGGCCUUAGGGUUGUAAGGCUCUUUUACCCGGGAUGAUAAUGACAGUACCGGGAGAAUAAGCUCCGGCUAACUUCGUGCCAGCAGCCGCCGUAA